CCUACGGGAGGCAGCAGUGAGGAAUAUUGGUCAAUGGGCGCGAGCCUGAACCAGCCAAGUCGCGUGAGGGAAGACGGUCCUAUGGAUUGUAAACCUCUUUUGUCGGGGAGCAAAAGACGCCACGCGUGGCGUUCCGAGAGUACCCGAAGAAAAAGCAUCGGCUAACUCCGUGCCAGCAGCCGCGGUAAUACGGAGGAUGCGAGCGUUAUCCGGAUUUAUGGGGUUAAAGGGGUGCGCAGGCGGAAGAUCAAGUCAGCGGUAAAAUUGAGAGGCUCAACCUCUUCGAGCCGUUGAAACUGGUUUUCUUGAGUGAGCGAGAGGUAUGCGGAAUGCGUGGUGUAGCGGUGAAAUGCAUAGAUAUCAGGCAGAACUCCGAUUGCGAAGGCAGCAUACCGGCGCUCAACUGACGCUCAUGCACGAAAGUGUGGGUAUCGAACAGGAUUAGAUACCCCUGUAGUC
rnacentral:rRNA from 1 species